rnacentral:lncRNA from 1 species
AAAACGAGUUUAGUAGUGGUGGUGUGGUUGAGUUAUGGGCUUCGCCACCGCCGAAGGCAAUUUUCGACACAACAGAGCGAUUUCAUGUGAAAGGGUGGGUGAGAAUAGAGGAGAGACGGAUCUGAGGAGAAUGAAGGGGAAUUUCAUGCUCUUCCCCUCUUUCUGAGCGUCCAUGGGCCAUGGAUCAAAGGCCUAAUGUAUUUUUUUUAUUCAUAACGUAUCCUUUCCUUGCUUAUUUCCCCCUGACACAAUCAAACAAGCAAAAAAAUAACUUGGGCUUCAAGUCUCUGGGCCCAGCACCCUGAUACUAUUCACACUCCCUCUUUCA